rnacentral:rRNA from 1 species
AUGACUCUCGGCAACGGAUAUCUUGGUCCUCGCAUCGAUGAAGAACGUAGCGAAAUGCGGUACUUGGUGUGAAUUGCAGAAUCCCGUGAACCAUCGAGUUUUUGAACGCAAGUUGCGCCCUAAGCUUCCGGGCCGAGGGCAAGCCUGCGUGGG